GUUGGUGUUGAUUGCCAUGUGGGUCCACCUGUUCCCAUCCCGAACACAGAAGUUAAGCACAUGUGCGCCGACAAUACUUGGCGGGUGACUGCCCGGGAAGAUAGGUAACGCCAACA
rnacentral:rRNA from 1 species